CAUCUGCUACACAAAGGCUACAUUAAAAUAAUCAAGGUUUUCUUUUUACUGCUAGUAGGCUAUGCAGAGGAUGUUUUUCUAGAUUAAUAUUUGGAAAAUAUUUACAAGUUAAAUAAACAACCAAGGUCAUGAUUUUAAACAUCAUAUGAGGAUUAUAAGAUUUUACAGAAAGCAUAUCGACUGGUCUAAAAAUACAAAAAAGCUAAGAGAUCAUGUCAUAUUAUAUACAUAGAACAUAGAUUGGGGGUUUAUUUUUAGAUACAGCAGCUGUCAACGCUGUCAUGGUAACGUCUUUGUUGAUCCCGGAAAUUUGUAAUUUCAUCCAAUUCACCAACCCUUUGAAGUGAAGACUCCAUGUUGGCAAUUUCUUUAGGAUCAACGUCAGUCACUAUAGAGGAUCCCAUUUUACCUUUGCAUACUGAAGUACCACCACCGCUCAUGGCACCUACAUUUUAUACAAG